AGCGGUAUGGUGUAAUGUUGCACCCGGGAUUUUCUUGUAGUGUCGAAAGCCAGAUAUACUUCCCGAGGGCCUUGUUCGAAUCAAGGUACUGCUC